rnacentral:rRNA from 1 species
GACGAACGCUGGCGGCGUGCUUAACACAUGCAAGUCGAACGAAGAGCGAUGGAAGCUUGCUUCUAUCAAUCUUAGUGGCGAACGGGUGAGUAACGCGUAAUCAACCUGCCCUUCAGAGGGGGACAACAGUUGGAAACGACUGCUAAUACCGCAUACGAUCUAAUCUCGGCAUCGAGGAUAGAUGAAAGGUGGCCUCUACAUGUAAGCUAUCACUGAAGGAGGGGAUUGCGUCUGAUUAGCUAGUUGGAGGGGUAACGGCCCACCAAGGCGAUGAUCAGUAGCCGGUCUGAGAGGAUGACCGGCCACAUUGGGACUGAGACACGGCCCAGACGCCUACGGGAGGCAGCAGUGGGGAAUCUUCCGCAAUGGACGAAAGUCUGACGGAGCAACGCCGCGUGAGUGAUGACGGCCUUCGGGUUGUAAAGCUCUGUUAAUCGGGACGAAAGGCCUUCUUGCGAAUAGUGAGAAGGAUUGACGGUACCGGAAUAGAAAGCCACGGCUAACUACGUG